UUGUGUUCAUACUAAUAAUUAAGAGCUAGCUCUGUUUAAAUUUCAGAUGGAGGUUGUCAGACAUGUCUUGCUCAUCAAUAGAUGGUGGUGUACAGUGGAAUACCAUCUGCACUCUCUAGUUAAAUAAUAUCAAUGCCCUAUUUCCUUUCAAUUUGCCCUAACUCUUUAUUUAUCUGUAAAGGUUCGAAGUAUUACAUGAGGAGCUAGGUGAUGACGAAGAAAGUGGAGGUCAAAGGUAGAAUUUUUAAGUCAGUCGUGACAUUGCUGUAAGCAAUACAGUGGUAAUAGGCAUUUAUCUCUACCUGUAGCUUAUGGUGGGUACCAUGCCAAAUCUCCUGCCAUGCAUUCUCAAGACUUUGGUGGCCGCGUCAGUUUUUUUCUUAGUAACCUGAUUUUACAUUUUAACCUCCGCUACGUCUGAGGGUAGUACUUGAUAGCUGGGUUGGUGGAAGUAUUAACUAUUUUAAUUUGCUAAGAUGGCCUUAUUUUGCUUAUGUUUUCUUCAAAUACUUUCUGGAGUUGGAAUUUUACCUUUUGAAUUGCUUUUGAAUGAAUUGUUAAUGUUAAUUGCUGGAAAUACAAGGCCCCGGUGUCUCACAUUAUUCGUUUCCCAAAGCAAAAUGAUCCUUCUAGUGCUCAAGAUUUCCCUUCACGUAGUCAUGUUUUGGCUGUUUAUCCUGGGACAACUGCACUAUAUAAAGUGACAGUCGUGAACUCCAGAAAGUAACUUCCCUCCUAUCUUUUAUCUUGGUGGGAUGUUCCAAGUUAUUGAUAUGAAUUUGGCGAAAACUGUGUAAAUCGAAGUAUUACACUGAUUCAGUUUGAUGUUCCUUCCCCCUUCCAUCCCCAGUUUUCUGUGGUAUGGAGUGGUAGAUAAGCAUACGCUCUCUAAAAAUGCAGAGACUCCUGCUAAUUGAUUUAGGACGAAUCUUUUGGGCAAGAAUGUAAGACGAGUGUUAUGUUUGUUAUCACUGGCGAUUCAAGGAAACUGUUUGUAUAUCUUUUUCUCGCAAAGUUAUUUAUCUCUUAUGUGUAAAGGGAAUUGCAUUUAUCUGGCAUCACCAUUAUUUCCAGAUUCUAUGAGCACCAAACAUAGCAUGGCAUGAAGUAAAAUUGGAGGAACAUGGCCCCCAUUCACCCCAGCCAAAUUUCAAUCAUUCCAUAUGAUAUCCUUUUUGUGCUUGUUUUUGGGUUGAUCAGUUACUUGCUAGAGUUUGAAAAUGAGCAAGAAGACGAGGCCAUGCCUCAAAGGAACGUCCCCUUCUUCAAAGUGGUUCCACUGCCCGAAGGACAUUGUCAGUGAGUGCUCUUGAAAAAGCUGUGUAAUAUUCUUCAGAUAGUGUGUAGCCUCAUGUGAAUAUCCUAGAGUAAUGUAGUUACCACUCUGUUUUUGCUCAAAAACCCUUUGAAAUGUAGUAUCGCGUGGGUUACUCUGUGUUUUGUAGUGAGUUAGACAUCACUACUGGACAAGUGGAAUGGGAUGGACAUGAAAGAUAUCGCUA